GAUGAAGAACGUAGCGAAAUGCGAUAAGUAAUAUGAAUUGCAGAAUUCAGUGAAUCAUCGAAUCUUUGAACGCACAUUGCGCCCAUUAGUAUUCUAGUGGGCAUGCCUGUUCGAGCGUCAUUAAGUCCACUUAAGCCCUGCUUAGUGUUGGGAGACUGCUCCAGCGGUGCUACCCUGUAGCUACCCUGCAGCUCCUCAAAGACAGCGGCGGAGUUGUGGUAUCCUCUGAGCUUAGUAACUUGUUCUAGCUUUCGAGUACACCACUUCCCCUGCCGUAAAACCCUUAAUUUUUAAUGGUUGACCUCGGAUCAGGUAGGAAUACCCGCUGAACUUAAGCAUAUCAAUAAGCGGAGGA
rnacentral:misc_RNA from 1 species